UACGUAGGGGGCUAGCGUUGUCCGGAAUCAUUGGGCGUAAAGAGCGUGUAGGCGGCCCGGCAAGUCCGCUGUGAAAGUCGGGGGCUCAACCCUCGAAUGCCGGUGGAUACUGUCGGGCUAGAGUGCGGAAGAGGCGAGUGGAAUUCCUGGUGUAGCGGUGAAAUGCGCAGAUAUCAGGAGGAACACCGAUUGCGAAGGCAGCUCGCUGGGACGUUACUGACGCUGAGACGCGAAAGCGUGGGGAGCAAACAGG
rnacentral:rRNA from 1 species